GUCUUUUUGUAAAAAAUUUAAAGUCUGGUCUGCCCUAUGAUUAAUUAAAUGGCCGCGGUAUUUUGACCGUGCUAAGGUAGCAUAAUCAUUAGUUUUUUAAUUGAAAGCUGGAAUGAAGGGCUGAAUGAAAAAAAGACUGUCUCUAUAUAAUUUUUAUUGAAUUUUAUUUUUAAGUUAAAAAGCUUAAAUAAAGUUAAAAGACGAGAAGACCCUAUAGAGUUUAAUAAUUUUUUUUAUAAAAAAUUUAGUAUUAAUUUUUUUAUUUAUAAAAAAUUAUUUAAUUGGGGUGAUUAAAAAAUUUAAUUAACUUUUUUUAUAUUAAUAUAUUAAUUAAUAAUUUCUUGAUCCAAUAUUUUUGAUUAUAAGAUUAAAUUACCUUAGGGAUAACAGCGUAAUUUUAUUAGAGAGUUCUAAUCGAUAAUAAAGUUUGCGACCUCGAUGUUGGAUUAAAAUUUAUAAUUGGUGCAGAAGCUAUAUUAUUAAGUCUGUUCGACUUUUAAAAUUUUACA
rnacentral:rRNA from 1 species